UGCUUGCUCAAGGCGUAUAGGUGUAUUCACUAUUAUUAAGCCCAAACAAAGCUGAGAACACUGCAUGGCUGAUUGCAUCUUUUCUUGUGCAGAACACAUCUGCAGAUUUGAUUAUUCCAGUGAAAGUUUUUGAUUAGUGGGGGGGGGGGUUAAUUUACCCCUUGGGAGUAAUGUGUGGCUAUCUGAUAUGGGGUCUGACUUCCAAUGGAUAAGCCAAAGUUAUCUCAAGAGUCAGAAGGAACAUCCAGUUUCUCUUAAAUGAAUAUGGAUUGCAGGAUGACCCAGGUGCUCUCUUGUUCUUUCUAGAUGACUUAAGGAUGCCUGAUAGCUUCCUGUAGCACACUCUGCAAGCAUGAAGAGACUGUGUGUGAUUGCCACCUGUUGGGUCUGAAACUGUAACUACAGUGUUGUGAGCUGCGAUGGGCGAAUAAUAUGACUUGAUGGAGUGGUUGCCCAUAUCGCUCCAAAGUUCAAAAACCCUUCCCAGUUCAAAAACCAGGCUCAACAACAAAUUUAAAACACUUAAUUAUAAAAGCAGCAUAAAAUACAGUAUAAAAACAUGAAUAACAAUAAAAUUAAAAAAUCAAUUAGAUAAUCCCCAGGGCUAGCUGGCUGAAUUGGUCCUACUUGGGCCAGCAAGGAGGCCAGGGGAGAAUUAGCUGUGGGGUCUCAGAGUGGGUGAUCUUCAUAAAAGGGAGGGGGAGGGAAGAGGAGGAAAAUAAAAGAUCAAUCUGAAUUCAAAUUAAAGGCCAGUCGGAAUAGCUCUGUCUUACAGGCCCCACGGAAGGAGGUUAAAUCCUGAAGGGCCUAGUGUCAUGGGACAGAGCAUUCCACCAGGUCGGAGCCAUCACUGAAAAGGCCCUGGCCCUGGUGGAGGAUAGUCUGACUUCAUUAGGGCCCGGGACCUCUAAACUAUGGUUAUUCAUUGACCUUAGGUCCUCUGCGGGGCAUACCAGGAGAGGCGGUCCUGUAGCUACAAGGGCCCUAAGCCCUAAAAUUCUGCUGUUUUUAUGGAAAAUACUACCACUUUCAACUUUUCCUACAUUCUUCAAGAUGUCUAUGUUUUAGAUGAGUCAUCUGAUGGCAUGUCUUCAGUGUAAACAAGUAGCUUGGGAACCUUUGUUGCCAUUCAUGGCUACUAUGUUUCCGUAGAAGAGAGGUAGGUGCUAAGUAGAACAUAGGAAGUGGUGUUAUUGUCAGUUUGCAUUUCUUAGUAUUGAUCUGAUGUGUAGAGAUCUUUCCUGUUCUGCUUAGUUCAAGAGGGUUCUGGAUGCUUGUCUGUAAGAAAGAAGGUUACUGAUGUUUGGGUUAUUCCUUCAGGGAAGCUGAGUACAGCUGGUUUAAACUGGUUCUGUUAUCCUUUCUGUCAAGGUCAUUCUGACUAUAAUAGUCAGGCCAGGAGGAGCCUGGCUUUCACACUUGCUCUUUCUAUCUCUUUGUUCUGGUGUGGUGUUCUAUAUGCAGUGUUCAGGUUUAGUCUUACUGUAGGUUCUUGUUAGUUUAAGUUAAGUCUGCUGCAACUGGAUUUCUUAUGGACUGUGCCAAUCCUGAAUGUAUUGGAUUUGUGACCAUUAUGCUUAUUUGCCUUCAAUAGCAGUAAAAAGCAGAGACAUCACCUUGCCAACAAAGGUCCGUAUAGUUAAAGCUAUGGUUUUCCCAGUAGUGAUGUAUGGAAGUGAGAGC